rnacentral:rRNA from 1 species
UACGGAGGGAGCUAGCGUUGUUCGGAAUUACUGGGCGUAAAGCGCACGUAGGCGGCUUUGUAAGUUAGAGGUGAAAGCCCGGGGCUCAACCCCGGAAUUGCCUUUAAGACUGCAUCGCUUGAAUCCGGGAGAGGUGAGUGGAAUUCCGAGUGUAGAGGUGAAAUUCGUAGAUAUUCGGAAGAACACCGGUGGCGAAGGCGGCCUGCUGGGCAGUAGCUGACACUGAGGCGCGACAGCGUGGGGGAGCAAACAGG